rnacentral:rRNA from 1 species
GGAUGCGGUCAUACCAGCACUAAAGCACCGGAUCCCAUCAGAACUCCGUAGUUAAGCGUGCUUGGGCGAGAGUAGUACUAGGAUGGGUGACCUCCUGGGAAGUCCUCGUGUUCCAUUCC